rnacentral:RNase_P_RNA from 1 species
CGAGCCUGCCGGGCGGUCGCGUCCCGCUACGGCGGGAUGAGGAAAGUCCGGACUCCACAGAGCACGGUGCUGGCUAACGGCCAGGCGGGGUGACCCGACGGAAAGUGCAACAGAAAACAUACCGCCUCUCCGCAGUGCGGAGCGGUAAGGGUGAAAAGGUGCGGUAAGAGCGCACCGGCGUCGCAGUGAUGCGGCGGCCUGGCAAACCCCACCGGGAGCAACGCCAAGACGCGCAGAUGAGGCUGCUCGCUGAUGCGCAGGUAGGCGGCUAGAGGCGCACAGCAAUGUGCGUCCCAGAGAGAUGACCGCCGCGCUGUGUGCAGCACAGCGUCACAGAAUCCGGCUUAUAGGCAGGCUCGAACG